rnacentral:rRNA from 1 species
AGCGAACGCUGGCGGCAUGCCUAACACAUGCAAGUCGCACGGGGGGGCUUCGGCCUCCCAGUGGCGGACGGGUGAGGAACGCGUAGGGACCUGUCGAGGGGUGGGGGAUAACCGCGGGAAACUGCGGCUAAUACCGCAUGACGCCGCGGCGUGACAGCCGGGGCCAAAGGCGAAAGCCGCCCGCCGAGGGGCCUGCGUCCGAUUAGCUGGUCGGCGGGGUAGCGGCCCACCAAGGCGUCGAUCGGUAGCUGGUCUGAGAGGGUGAUCAGCCACACCGGGACUGAGACACGGCCCGGACUCCUACGGGAGGCAGCAGUGGGGAAUAUUGGACAAUGGGCGCAAGCCUGAUCCAGCAAUGCCGCGUGGGUGAAGAAGGUCUUCGGAUUGUAAAGCCCUUUCGGCGGGGACGAUGGUGACGGUACCCGCAGAAGAAGCCCCGGCUAACUUCGUG